ACAACCAGAUGUAGGACACUUUUGUAGUUAAGGGAAAAAUUGAAAAAAAAAAAAUUGAAAACAGAAACAUUCACUUUUUAAGUUGAAGUUACCCAUGAUUCAAAAAUCAUCUCUGAAAUUGAACAGCAACUUGAAAAGCAGUCACAGUAGAAUCUUCAAUUUCAUCUUUAAAACUCUAAUAAAUGGCAAAAAUGGACAAAUUGAGUAAAAGGCCUAGCAGGCAAUGUAGACAAAGCUAAAAAUGCGAUGCCGAUGGUCAGGGUUUUUUAGACCCAUGUGAAAUGGAAUUGAAAACAAGUUCAACACCCAAACAAAAAAAAAAGAAAAAUUGAAAAGAUUCGGUUUAAGUUUCGACCCAGACAUACCCUAAAUGUAUUUUAGAGGUAAUAAAAUCUCUUAAAAGAAGGAAAAAACCUAAUGUCCUUAUAUGAGGUAGUCUUUUGAAUUCGAUUGGUCCCAGACAAAAGUCAAUAUGCCUCACGGCUGUGGAUGUGUACCUCAUAUUGGAGCCAUUCAAAGGGGUAUGGCUCCACUCGACGUUUUCGUGCCCCAACUCUGUUCAUUCAUUAGAGGACGAGGCAUUUCGCGGGGCGCAGUCAAUGCCAUUGAAUGUUUGGGAGCGCAAACAGAAGGCAGCCGUUAGACUCAAAAUCAUCGCAAUAUUCGGUUUCAUUUUCUCUUCACAGGAGCUGCACGUGUGGGUGACUGCGUGAGUAUCUGUGCGACAGAGCGUUUGUUUCUGUGAGGGUGCGUGAGUAUCUGUGUGACGGGACGUGCCAUUAAUGGCGGAAAUUUCAUUUCAGUGUAACGGUGCGCCUAAUAAAAUAUUUAUUCACCGACCAAACAGGUGCGAAAUUUUAAAUGCAAGCAUUUGCUUUUUACACUCUCCUGUUUUCGUAAUGUAAUGUAAUUUUAUUUACUUGAACACUCUGUUGAAAGAAGCCAAAAUUGUCCCCGAAAAUUUUUCUCCCCCCCAAACUGAAUUUGUUUCUGUUUCGUUCAAUUUGCGUUCAUGGGAUGUGCGAAAUGAUUUCGAGUGUGCACUUCAUUAACAAUCAGCAUCGUAAUGAGAGGAUAUAUAAGGACACAGGAUACAGGAUCGGUUGGCAGUGAGGCG